GCGGAGUGAAAUCUUCUCUUGGAGGGAAGCGAGUGUAGGUCAUGGCAUCGCCGCCUUAGUGGAUCGGGAAAGAGAUAAUUUUGGAACAUGGAUAUUUUGCACAAAAACUCAAAUGCUGGCAGCAAAGGCCUUAGUUAACAGAGCAGUCUUUUGGUUGAACCACACAACUCCAAUGACCAUUGCCACGAAUGCAAGCAGCCCUGCAGCACCUCCAGCUAUGGUCGCAUACUUUGACAUAUGUCUCAUUUCGGGAAGCGAUAAGGCCGAUAUUGAGUAUCCACUUGGGAAAUAGAGACUUGACAGAGAUCAAUGCUGCUAAAAUCUAAAUAAGGAAAGAAGGUGAAUUUGGAGACAAACAGAAUAACUCAAGCAGUCAAGCAGAAGAUAUUACCCUGUCUUGUACUGCUGAUGAAUCCAUGUUGGCUCAAAUCCUGCAUUGGUUGUCAAGACCAAGUGUGUUUGCUUCACAAUUAACUUCCUCGGACAGAAGGCAAAGUGCUCUGGAUGUAUGUAAAAAAACUUCCACGUGGACAUGUUUUGAACUUAUACUGAGACCAUCUUUCAAGCUUAGUAGCAUCUCUUUGUGGAAUCUCUAGUCUAUCUAUAACCUAAAAAAAAAUCAAAGCCCAUGUGGGAAGUUGUUACCAACUGUAAAUAUUAUCAUUUUUACUAUAAAGAUGGGACACUUAUGAAAAAAAAAAACUCCUCCUCCCGUGCAUAAUGCUCUCACAAUGGGCGGAGGAAAGUGUCUUUAGUAGGAGAUAUAAUUACGGAAGGGGGAUCAAAAGAAAUGUUGUUAUCAUCUCUCAAUUCCAAGUCCUUUUUGCCCUUUGUCAUCUGAUCUGGAAAGAAGAGAGGACAUUCCCAUUUUAGUACGGUGAGACAGGACUCUUCCUAAGAUGGGGUCAUGACUACGAAGCCAACACAGGACAUCAAAAAGUAAGACUCUCCAGUUUCCAUGGCUACAUGCUGCUGUUUAGCUCUGUAUGGUGCUUGAAUACAAGAAAGUAAGAAACCCUUGUCAGAGGUUAAAGACUAGAGAGAGAGAGAGGAAGAUUUCUUAAACAAGAAUGUUGUUUGGUUCUGUUGUCUCAGGCUGACAGCAAGCAAGCAAGUGGUGCUGUUUUUGCAUGGCCUGACUGUAAAAAGACUUGUUUCUAUAUUUCUUGGUUUGAAGACUAACAUACAAUUCUGGGAUAUUUAGCACUUAUUAGUGUUAUUUGUUCUUAUUUGAACAUGUGCAUGUGUAGCCUUUUGGGCAUUUGGAAUUGAUUUGAGAGUCUUGUGGCCAUGGAAAGGUGUUCAUGGUAAGGUUUCAUUCAUCUGAUCUGUGCAUGUAUGUAUGCCUGGAUUGAAAAUGAGAGUUUGUGAAGGGGGACCAUGUUGUUUGUU